GCAUAUAGAGAGAGAGAGAGAGAGAGAGAGAGAGAGAGAGAGAGAGAGAGAGAGAGAGAGACCCUUCCAGCAUACAAGCCAUAUGCAAUCAACCAUUUUCAUCAUCAAAAUGCAAAUAACAUCAACUACACAAAAUGGAGAGAACAAAAUAUAUCUUUGAAAUAGCUUUACAAAAUAGCCUUCACACUAGACUUGAACAAGCUUUACAAAGCAGCAUUUACCCCAAACACCAACCAACCAACUAACCAAAAAAGGCAAUCCAAAAGCAUGUUCUAUAUCAAAUACUAUCCAAAAAAAAAAAAAAAAACAAAGCUUUACAAAACAAGCUUUACAAGCCAAGCUUUACAAAACAAGCUUCACAGGACAAGCUUUACACCAAAAAUCCAACUCUCCCCGCAGGUUCAUUGCCCUACUUCACUUUGAGAUUGUUCAGUUUGAGGUCCAGAAACUUGGCUUGAAAGAUCCAUUGUAUGAUUUGCACCACCUCGACGAAUUUCUUGAACUAUGUUACUCCCAGGCAUCUGAAAAUUGAGGGAAAAACAUAAUCUUAUUAUGCUAAUCAUAGCGGAUUAAAAAAUGCUUAACAAAAUAAAAUCUUCACUCUCAAAUAUGAGUUUCCAGUGGCUUCAGAUACGUAAAAUCCAUAUCCUUGUAAAACCUAUAAGAAGACAAACCAUAUUAACAUUUUACUUUGGUAUUAUAAAAAAUCAUAUGAAAUCUACUUGUAGACUCCUCACCCUUCUCUUCUCAGAAUUGACAAUAUUUGAUUGUCCCAUUAUAGAUCUAGCUGAGGUACUUUCACUUUCUUUGUUUGAUGCCCCUCCUUCAAUGGUUAGUUGCUUUGGAUGCUUCCUUGGCCUACCUCUUUUGCCCUAUAUAAUAGAC
rnacentral:lncRNA from 1 species